AGCUCUGUAAGCGUAUACCAAAGUUGUUGCAGUUAAAACGCUCGUAGUCGGAAUUUGGCAGUUCCGGAUGUGGGCACAACGUGUGCUCACUUUGCAGGGACUGCUUUUGUGGUCUUGCGUAGGAUGACGCGACUUUAUUGUUGAACGUCCUCACGCAACCACUCUUUACUGUGAGAAAAUCAAAGUGCUCAAAGCAGGCAUUUGCCGUGAAUGUAUUAGCAUGGAAUAAUAGAAUAGGACUUGGUUCUAUUUUGUUGGUUUGUUGGGGCUAAGUAAUGAUUAAGAGGGACAGUUGGGGGCAUUUGUAUUUCGGCGCUAGAGGUGAAAUUCUUAGAUUGCCGAAAGACAAACUGCUGCGAAAGCGUCUGCCAAGGAUGUUUUCAUUGAUCAAGAACGAAAG
rnacentral:rRNA from 1 species